rnacentral:misc_RNA from 1 species
UUUCCGUAGGUGAACCUGCGGAAGGAUCAUUAUCGAAUUUCGAGGGGAAGGAAGAUGAGGAGUGGAGACUGUCGCUGGCUUUCCCGCCUGGGAAGCAUGUGCACGCCUUGCUUUUCGUUGACCUUUCUCUUACUCUCACACCUGUGCACCCAUUGUAGGUCCUCGAAAGAGGAUCUAUGUUUUUAUCAUCACACGCAUCGUAUGUCCAUAGAAUGUAACAUGAUCGUCGAUCGACCUCGCGGUCGGGUGGCGGUCUAAAAAAAUAGAUACAACUUUCAGCAACGGAUCUCUUGGCUCUC